rnacentral:lncRNA from 1 species
ACCCUUCAUGCUAAAAACUCUCAAUAAAUUAGGUAUUGAUGGGACGUAUUUCAAAAUAAUAAGAGGAAACACUUUUCAACAUGUUUUAUGAGUCUACCGUUAUCCCCAUACCAAAACCAUAAAACAGACAUUACAAGAAAAUGUCCUGUAGACAAAUAUGUAUUUUGAUGAUGAAUUUAGAUUUCAAAAACUUCAGCAAAAUAUUAUCCAAUUAAAUCCUCUCAUGUCUGUGUGUGUGUGUGUGUGCAUGCACGUGUGUUUGUAAAAUAUAUCAUUACUAAUUGGCGUUUAUCUUGGGAGUUCAAGAUGGUUUCCAUAUUCAAUCAACCCAUCAAUGUGGACUAUGGUCACUUGAAAAGACCAGCAAAUCCUCUGCACAAAAGGCCACUAGAAAUUCAUUAAAGCAGCCUUCCAUCAUUCUCGAAAUUGACCAAAGCAUUCAACUACCUGAGAAAUAUUUAUGUUUGGAAAGCUAUUGAAAUGCAAUUAAAAAUAUCAGGAAACCUGUUUUUACCUUUUGUCCUAAUCUUGCUAAAUCCUUCUUAAUUUUAGGAGACACUGCUUCUCCUUCCACUGUUCUUUUACUUUCUCCUUCCCCUUUGUUUUUGCCUCCCCCUUCCUCUCCCUUUUCUACAUUCCUUCUCUCUCCUAAAUGCUGUAUAAAUUUCUACAUAUGUAAUCAUAUUAUUUACAAAUAGGAACAGUUUUACUUAUUUCUUUCCAGUCUGCAUUUAUUUUAUUCUUCCUUUUUUUCCUUACACACUGGAUAGAACUCUAAGUAUUAUGUUGAAAAAGAGUGAUAAAAGCAAACAUCUUUGCUUUAUUCCUGAGCAUACAUGUGGAAAACAUUCAGUGUUUCACAGCUAAAUAUGAUGGAUUUUUUGUAUGCUCUUUAUCAAGAUGAAGGAAUUUUCUGCUAUUUCUGGUUUGCUGAAUUUUUAUCACAAGUAACUGUUGAAUAGUGUCUUUUUCCCCUGCAUUUAUUGAACUGAUCAUGCAUUCUCCUAUUUUAGAAUAUUAAUAUGAUGAACUAUAUUAUUAGAUUUUUUAAAAUAUUGCAACUGUCUUGCAUUUCUGGAAUAAACAUGGCUUGGUCAUGUGUCACUUUUUUACAUAGUGUCGUAUUCAAGUUGUCGAGGAUUUUGCAUCUAGGGUAUAUUUGUAGAUUUGCAUCUAGGUUAUGUUGGUCUAAAGUUUUGUUUGUUUGUUUUCCUUUUCUUUUUUUUUAUCAUCUUUGUCUUCUUCUGUUUAAGUGUCAUGCUUGCUUCAUAAAAUGAAUUGAGAAGCAUUUCUUCCUCUUCUGUUUCUCGAAAAUUGUAGAGAACUCUUGUUUUUUGUUGUUGUUUGUUUGUUGUUUUGUUUUUUCUUAUUUUUAUCCUCAUACUGAGAACCAAACAGUCUGGAGUGUAAAACAUGGUUCCUCAUUCCAGUUAAAUCUAGUAUACAAUGACAACAACCCUCUUGGGUUAAGCAUUGGCCUACAAACAGAAAAAAACCUUCAGGGAGAUAGAUGCUGAUCUAGGCAUUGUGAGAAAAGCUGAAUUCAUUUUUAAUCAUGAAUGGCUUUUAAGGAAAGAAGAUUUAUUAACUAAAAUAAAUAGAUUAGAGGGAAUUCUCACCUAUGAGAGAGGAAGGGAUGGGAUUCAACCUGGAAAAAGUAAUGAAGUUUUAGUGAACUUGGUAAGGUAGACUCAACAAUUAAUGAUGGAUAAUGCUAGGACCCAACACUGGUAAUGAGUUUGUAUUAUGACUCAAUAGCAUCACUUUAUCACUUUAACACAGAUGGAGGCCUAAAUAACCAUAGGGUAAUGGUUCUUCUUAGAUGCAGAAGGACACAUUUAUAUAAUCUUAGGGACCCCAUCUCUGAGGUCACUCAUAAUUUAUAUUAAUUCAUUGUUAUUGCCAUUGCCCCAAGAAUAGAUAAGGAUAAGACAUCCUGUAGUACAGGUAGCAGAGAUAUAAACUAUUCUUAUUCUUGUGUCUUGUCUAUAGGAAGGGAGUGUAUCCUGGUGUAAGACAGCAUAUAGUAGAGACCAUUGUCAAUUAGGGCCUGUGAACUAAGACAGGGUGACUGGCUAAGUCCACAACCCAUUAGAAACCCAGAAAUAAUCAAAUCAUGGUGAGUAGUAAUAACACUUAUUUAUAAUACUAUACGGUAUAAAGACAAGAACCAAUUAUGUUGAGUAGCUGUAACAAAUAGCUCUAUCAUUCGUAAUAACUUUUUCUGUAAUAAAACUGAAUUGUAACAUGAUCAUACUGCAAUAUGACAUUACACUAGCAUUGUUGGUAAGAUUCAACUAUCUUAUGUAGAGAAGUUAUAUAAUGCUUAUAUUGAUAAUCAAAUGUAUUAAGAUAUUGAGUUAAAGCCUCUUCAGAAUGUAAUCUGGGUGAAUAAUAAAUGGCCUGAGAAAACAGAAUUCAGCUAACCAUUAUCUAAUUUCAAUGCUAAAUAGUUCUGCACAGAUUUAUCAAAAAGUAAAAAUAAAAGCAGAUUGAGAGGAGGAAUGAAUAAUUUUGUUUGUACAAAAUAUUAAAGUGUAUGUAAUGGGCUUGUAGGAUGCAUUAGUAAUUUUUAAAAAUCAAUCUUUACCCUACACUGUGUCCAUAAAAUGCUAGGCAUAUUCAUGUUAAUAUUACUGUUGUUACUGUCAUAUAAAUGCCAUAUUCAAUGUAGAUGCUCAGAAAAAUAUGAUUGUUUUGCUACAGGAGAGAUUAGACCAGGGACAAUAAAUAUGGAUUAGGCAAGAAUGUGUUAACUCAGCAGCCCAGGGUUUUUUCAACCCUGCACAUUCAAAGGUAAGGUUUGUUUUUAGGACUAGCUAGCCUCUGAGUUCUGGAAAUAGUCUUACCGUGAAGAGUGUUUUUGUAUAUCUGAGGCCUUGGGUUUAUGGUGAAUGACUGACUUAUAUGCCUGAGGCCCUGAGCCAUGCUGUAUUUAUUUGAACCAUGUGGUAUCAAUUUAACCAGAUACGUUUAUUCUAAGAUAUGAUUUAUGCUGAAUGCCUGGUUUUGUUCUAGAGGGAUCAUGGAAAGGAAGCUGAAUUUGCCAAGUUUUGCCACUUGGGCAUUGCAUGCCUAUGUGAUUAACCACCAAUAAAAACCUGGGACAUCAAAGAAUAAAUAAGCUGCUCUAAUUGCCAAGAAUUCACAUGUGGUUGUAUGCAGCUUUACUGGGAGACUGAAGUGUAUCUGCAUGUGAUUCUGCUGUGAUGGACACUUGAUCUUGAGAUGACGUCAUACUGGAUGAUCCUAGUGCACCCUAAAUCCAAUAAGUGUUCUUAUGAAAGACAGAAGAGGAGAAGAUACAGGAAAUAGAAGAAGGCUACUUGAGGAUGGAAGCAGAGAUUGGAGUUAUGCAGCUACAAACCAAAGAAUGCCUUGAGCCACCAGCAGCUGAAAGAGCUAGUCAGCAAUACAACUGGGAUUUGAUAUCAGAUUCAUACGAUUCCGAAGACCCUGACCACCAAAUGCAAAAGCUCCCAUAAUUUCCACGUGUUAUGGGAAGGAUCCAGUGGGAGAUGUCUGAAUCAUGAGGGCACGUAUGUCCCAUGCUGUUC